AGUAAUGAAGGAAAUAGGAAAGGAAAAAAAAGUAUAGGCCUUGUUAUUGUUUUAGGCUCGCUACUGGUGGUGGUGGUGGUGUGUUUGUGAUUUUGCAGCUUGCGUGUGUCUGGUGUCCGCCGGUGCCUGGUACAGCAAAGUGAGGCUUGCACUGCACCAGAGAGGGAAGGCUGUAGCUGCUGCUGUCUAUGUUGCUAAGGAGACUCAUCCUUCCUACAGCAAGAACCUUUCACUGCCGCCACUACAGCAUGGAGCUCAAGGAGAUCGUGGCAGUCCUGAACCGCUUCGCUGCGCCGUCCCUGGCUGAGUCCUGGGACAACGUGGGUCUCCUGGUGCAGCCAUACACUCAGAGAGAGAUCAAAACUGUGCUGUUGACCAAUGACCUGAGUGAGGAGGUGAUGGAUGAGGCAGUGCAACACAAGGCUGACCUCAUCCUCUCCUACCACCCACCUCUCUUCCGGCCCUUCAAGAAAAUCACUACUGGAUGGAAGGACAGGAUUGUUGCGUGCUGCCUGGAGAAGGGCAUUGCUGUGUACUCGCCCCACACGGCAUACGACACGCUGAAGGGAGGCGUCAACGACUGGUUGCUCAAAGCUUUUGAUGUGGGUGAAGUGACUCCACUGCAGCAGAAGGAUGUCCCGCUGCCACACAGCCACCAGGUGGAGGCAGCCCUGGAGUCUGAUGCUGCUGUUCAGGACUUGAUCCAGAGAGUCACUCAAGAGGUUGGGGAGCAAGUCACUGUUUUAAAGUAUGGUACAAAUUGCAUGAAGGUCCUUUGUGGAGAGAGAGAUCUGCCUGCCAUUGUCAGUCUGACCAGUACAAAUUCUGCUGCUCCAGCCAAACUUGUGGUCACUAAACUAGAAAAGGUGCCUUUAGUGGGGCACGGUGCAGGGCGGCGGGGCAGCCUGGCAGAGCCAAUCACUGUACAGCAGGCCAUCAGCCGGGUCAAGACUCACCUUGGCUUGCCUCACCUGCGAGUGGCCUUGGCUCACGGCUCGACUCUCGACACUCAAGUCAAUAGUGUGGCAGUGUGUGCUGGGUCUGGGGUGUCGGUGCUGCGUGGAGCCAGUGCUGACCUGUGGCUUACCGGGGAGAUGAGUCACCAUGAGGUCUUGGAUGCAACACACGGAGGCUCCACCGUCAUCCUUGUUGAUCACUCCAACUCAGAGCGAGGCUUUCUUAAGGAGCUGCAGCCUACACUACACCAACUCUUUGAGGAGAAAGUAAAUGUCCUCAUUUCACAGAAGGACAGAGAUCCACUUCAGAUCAUUUAAUUUCCAAAAAGUUGAUUGAUCAAUGGAUUUCAUCACAGGACUCGCAUCAGGACAUGUGUCACCUCCUCUGGCCACCAAUCAAGAUGGAAGCUACAAACCCAAGGGUCCUGCAUACCAGAGAAAAGGAAAUGCUCUACAACAUUAACAAGUACCUCCUUGAAGAGAGAGCUUGUAAAGGAUUCAUUAUCCUGCCUUCAAAAGCAACUGCUUGGACUGCAAAGGCAACUACAGUUUCCGAGAAAAAAUCCAGAAAGAGAGAGAGAGAGAGAGAGAGAGAGAGAGAGAGAGAGAGAGAGAGAGAGAGAGAUAAGGUAGGUAGGUGGGGAGACCAUUUAAAUCUGAUAUUGGUAGUCUAGCUGGCAGUGCCACACUUGUGGAAAUUCCAAAAUCUGCCACAUGCAGAACAGACUUCAACACUCAGUGAUACUCUGUGGAUCAAUUCAUAUGUACCAAGUUUUGUGAAUGAAGACCACAACAUUAACAUUUUGUUUGUAAUAAAAUUUUUCUCGUU
rnacentral:misc_RNA from 1 species